AGCUCCAAUAGCGUAUGUUAAAGUUGUUGCAGUUAAAAAGCUCGUAGUUGAACUUCGCCGCCGGCUCCAGGUCAUCCUCACGGAUUGCACUUGGCGCUUGCGGUUUUGCCCUACUAGUGUGUGCUUUUUGCGCACUCAUAGGGGGCGUUUACUGUGAGAAAAUUAGAGUGUUCAAAGCAGGCGUUUCGCUCGUAUACGUUAGCAUGGAAUAAUAGAAUAGGACGAGGGUUCUAUUUUGUUGGUUCUAGGACCGUCGUAAUGAUUAAUAGGGAUGGUCGGGGGCAUCAGUAUUCAGUAGUAAGAGGUGAAAUUCUUUGAUUUACUGAAGACUAACUGCUGCGAAAGCGUUUGCCAAGGACAUCUUCA
rnacentral:rRNA from 1 species